AUUAGGUUAGGGGCUAAGGUAAGGUUUAAGGUUUUUGGCGUGAGGGUUAAAAUCACUGUCCAAAACCUUUGUAGGAACUCUUUACCAUCCUUUUGGAGUUAGUUAGACCAAAAAAAAAAACGAAAAAUGAAAAAACAAUAUUUGGGGUUUUCAGGCUUCCUGAAGGUAAUAACCGGGUAUUAGGUUAUGGGGCUAGGGUAAGGUUAAAGGUUUUUGGAGUUAGAGUUAAAAUCAGUGUCCAAAACCUUUUUAGGAACAUGUUUAAGACCUUUUGGAGUUGGUUACACCAAAAAAAAAUGUAAAAUGAAAAAAAAAAAAUUGGGGUGUUCGGGCUUCCUGAAGGUAAUACCCGGGUAUUAGGUUUUGGGGAUAGGGUAAGGUUUAAGGUUUUUGGUGUAAGGGUUAAAAUCACUGUCCAAAACCUUUUAAGGAACAAGAUUCAGACCUUUUGGAGUUGGUUACACCAAAAAAAAUGUAAAAUGAAAAAAAUAUAUAUUUGGGGUGUUCGGGCUUCCUGAAGGUAAUACCCGGGUAUUAGGUAAUGGGGCUAGGGUAAGGUUUAAGGUUUUUGGCGUGAGGGUUAAAAUCACUGUCCAAAACCUUUGUAGGAAGUCUUUUCCAACCUUUUGGAGUUAGUUAGACAAAAAAAAAAAAAAGAUAAAAAUAUAAUUGGGGUGUUCGGGCUUCCUGAAGGUAAUACCCGGGUAUGGGGUUAUGGGGCUAGGGUAAGGUUUAAG